rnacentral:lncRNA from 1 species
AGAUAUUAGGACUACCAGCAGAGGGAGGGAGCUACCCACAUCCAGUCUCCUCCAUAGGACAACCUGUCUGCUGAAAGGGGCUACCCACUACAAGUCUCCUCUCUUCUGAAAGCUGGAGACUCCUCAGGAUGAUCUGCCCGUGGAAAUGAGCUACCCACUUCAGGUAUCCUGAGAGCUGUUCUGCCGCUCAGUGAAGCUCCUCUGUGCCUAGCUAGCUCUCCAGUUGUGUGUGCCUCCUUCUUCCUGGAUGUGGGACAAGAACUUGGGACCUGCUGAAUGGUGGGACUGAAAGAGCUGUAACACAAACAGGACUGAAACACUCCCCUGUCCAACUCACGCUGUGUGCGACAAGAAGAAGAGAAGACUUGUGGCUUUUCAGGGAACCCAGACCUAGGGGCUCCCCAAGCCAGGGAUGUAACACUCUUUUGGGGGCUCUGUGGUUUCUGGCGUCUCCAAGCUUUUGGGUGCCACCGCAUCUCCCCGUCCCGGACGCCUGUGCCUGCAGCAAGCCGCUUGCAGUACGUCUUGUCCAGCUGCAGCCUCACAUGGAGCCGGCGCCUGUGCCAAUGCCUAGAGCUGCCUGUCCCGCCACAGCAGCCAGGCAGCUCUAGGCACUGGCUGUGCCUGGCUGUGCGCAAUGGCCGAACCCUGUACGCGCUCACCAGCAUAUUCCUUGCCGCUCUGCACCUGACUCGCCCUUGGUAGGCGUGGGAUCCAGGCCAGUUACACAGACUGAGUGCAGCCUGCCAAGCUGAGUGGGCAGCAGGGGCCAGUGGGCACAAGCAACACUUAGGCAGAAGGUGCCACCAGCCACAGAGGUUUCCGGCUGGCAAAGUGACACCCCAAGGAUCCUGUGACAGAGUGCUUUAGGGCUUCUCUUUGCCAUAUCCAAAUUGCCAGCAACACUACUUUUGCGCUUUCGGGAAUAUCGCUGACUGAAAUAAAAUGAGAGUUUUAUUAAAAAGGAAGAACAGUAGAGGAGAUAAUGGAAGUCAGUCAGCCAUGUCUGCCACACCUAUGAUGGUCUCAUGCAGAUAAGCUAAAAUUAAAUAAAAUAAGGUUCAUUCUAACGCAAGUACUGCAAUCCCAUGACAGUUGAUCAGAUAAUUGAGACAGCUGCUAAGUGACUAAUGGGUGGGGAACAGAGACAGGAUGGAUAGGCUACACAAAGGUAUGAUUCACAUCCUGGGUAGGAAAGAGCCAGAAGGCAUGAAAUUUCAUCAUGCUAUUCAGAACAGAACACAAUUUAAAAUUUAUGAAUUGUUUAUUUCUGUCCUGUUCUGUUUAAUAUUCUCAGAGCACUGUUGAUUAUGAGUAACUGAAAUCUUGGAAAGUGAAAGCACAGAUAAGGGGAGACUACUGUAUAUUUAAGGUAUUCAACUUGAUGCUAUGAGAUACAUACAUAUAAAAUAGUCACUUUAGUGGCACAAUUUAACAUAUCUACAUCUCACACAGUUACCUAUUUUCUCCCCUGUGACAAAAGGAACUAUAAUCUACUCAUUUAGCAAAAGUCCUGAACACAAUACACUAUUAACUCUAGUUCUCAUGUUGUACAUUCCAAUUUUCCACCUGUUUAUCCUACAUAUUUGCUACUUUGUAUCCCUGGAGCUACAUUACCGCAUUUCACCCCCACCCUAUCCUGACCCUGAUCACCACUGUUUUAUUUUCUAUCUUUAUAUCAUUUGAUGUUUUUAAAAAUAGAGUUUACAUAUAAGUGAGAUCAUAUAUUUUUCUUUUCGUGUCUGGCUUACUUCAUUUAGCCCAAUUAAAAUUCGAUUUGUAUCAGUAUCUUUAGAAAGCAACUCAUCUGAGAAGUCUUCUCUUGCUUCCUUCCUGGGGGGUCCUGUUGCCCUUUCUUUGUGCUUUCGUAGUGGCACCAUGACUCUCCUCUCAGCUGGUAUCAUGUUGCAGGGCAAACAUCUGUCUGUCUCCUCUCACUGGAUGAUAAGAUACUUGAAGGAAGGGAUUGUAUCUAUUUUUUGGACCGUCAAAACCACGACUAUAAUACCUCAAUAAGCAUUUGCUCAAUGAGUAAAUGAGUAUAUGAAUAAAUUAGUGUUAUUUGCUUCAUGGCCUGGAUUCCUCCAUAGCAGAACCUUAUCUGCAUGAGACCAGCAUAGGUGUGGCAGGUAUGACUGAUUGACUUCCCAAUAUCUCUUCUAUUCUUCUUCCCUUUUAAUUAUAUUUCAGUCAAUGGUAGUGCCAACUAAAAUAUUCAUUUUCUAGUUUUUUUUUUUUUUUUAAAAAACUAGAAAGUUUAAAUGACAGUGCUUGCCAAUGAAUAUAAGGAAAUAUGUGUUGGAAAUUUUUGGAAAUAUGUUGCUUUUUUAACGCAAGCAUUAUCACUUCUUGUUGCUUCCCUCUUUUUUUCUGCCUAUAAUGCUGACACAGGGCAAGAAAAGAAGUCUUUCUGCAAGAUGAGAGAGAGAAAUCCAUGUGCUAAGGUAGAGGGAGAUAGAAGGAGCCUGGUUCUUUGAGCAGCCAGGAUUACCUAGCCCUACAUGAUUAAAAAUGGAGCAGCCAGGAUUACCUAGCCCUCCUUUUGAACAAGCCAUUAUAAUGGAUUUCUUUUAUAUACAGCCUAAUAAAAUCCAUAACUGAUAGCACUUAAAAGAUUGCUUGAACUAAUUGCUUUGGAUAGAACAAAUGAAUAGGUAUAUAACUAUGGUAAUGAGCAGGAAAGUUUCUGCUUUGGUCCCCAAACCUAAUGCCUAUAGGAUUCGGGAUCUAUUUCUAGGUAAAAAUGAUGAUUUUGUCUUGUACCUUGCUGGGAUUCAGUGAUCCUUUGUGUUAAGUUCUAUAAUGCAGAAAUGCCCGUGGACUGCUAUGCCAGAUUCUUCUAUGAUAAUACUCUCUCCAAGACUGUGUCUUUUAAACAUGCACAAAUUCAUGCUCAAUCCCAUUUCUGACUUGAGAUAUAGAUAAUAUGUGUAGAAGAAGGCAACAUUGAACUAAAAAUGAGAAGUUUUCUAUUUCAGCCUUACUCUUUUGCCACCUGAUGGUCAAGUUAUAUAAUUUUUUAAUGAGUUUAAAAUCACGGCAGGGAAGCUGCAACCACCUGUCACCAAAUUUCUACUGCAAUUGUGACCAAAGCCUGAAAUUAAAACUCUUUUGACUGUUUCCCCAUUUACCCUUCCAAGUGCAGCCUACUGAGACUCAUGGAAUUAGCAUCUUAAAGAAACCCACACAUCCCUUCACACUCCUGAAAACCACUGCCAACCACCCCUGCUUUCUCACAAUUGUUCUCCAGGACUGCCUGUCUAUAGCUGUCACCAUUAUUCAUGCAACGCCCCCACCGAGCAGAGAUGGAGAGAGAGAUUGAGUUUGCUCACCAGUAAGUUGAGCUGUAAACUCAGGAAAAUUGGGCUUCGCAAGGAUGGAGAGCCUAGAGCUUUGACAGGCUGUGCUUCUGAGGAGACAUGGAGUAAACCGCAUUCUCUUUAUUCAUCACUUAGUGAAAGAAAGAAACACCCUUUGUGAAGUUGUCUCCACAGAGGUAUAGCACCUAUGGCCACUUUUCCUUGGGGACCUUUAGAAACAAACAAACAAGGCUGCUUCCCCGUCACUGUGUAGAGAGUUCAUGCUUUUAAUCACAAGGCAUAUGUAGGUGAUAAGCUCUCAAUGGUAAAUGUCUCAAAAAUUAUAUCUGUAGACCAGAUGUUUGUCACAGCUACUGACCCUUAAGAUGUAGGCAAGAUUGCCUUAAGUGUAGGACACACAUGAUUUCAUGGCCUUUGGGAGUCCACAGCUCUCCCAAAAGAUUUCUGUGAAUUUCCAUGUGGGUUUCAGCUUCCUUGAUUUCCCCUGCUUUGGGGGGCUGGUAAUUUUUCUCUUUUUUCUUGAAUUCUGAUCCAGAACAAAGCUUAGUCCUUUAAUGCUUUACUCAUCAAUACCCCAACUGCAUACUUAAUUCACUCAUUUUACAUCAGUGAAGACUUAGAGAUCAUGAACAAAAUAUUACAUAUGGAAAUCAUACAGUAAUCAACAUCUUAGUCUUUAUUAGACACUUUUCCUCCCGAAGGAUGUUUCAGCACUCUACAGCUCAGUAUCCAGGCCUAGUCUUCUCUUCUUUGCUAAUUUCUCAUUUUCUCCUCUAGUCAGCCUCCUUCUUUGUUCUAGACUCACCACUAGAUGCUAAUCAGGGAGUAAUGUCGGGCGAGACCAUUGCAGCUGUGCAUCACCAGAUCCUUGAAACCAGACAGACCCCCAAAUUCUGGAUUUCUGUGUGUGUAUGUGCAUCUGUGUGUUGUUGGAUGUGUCAGUAAGGAUCUCUCUGUUCAGAAUAGACUGUGAGUUUUAGAAAUUAUGAACACAAGGUACCAGACAUUCUAAUAUGCUAUAAUCCAAACCACAUUUUCUAGAUUUACUUUUACCUCCUGAAUGGGAUCAAAAUCUAUCAUCAGAUUGGCUUUACACCACUUACACACUUACAGAGUGACUUUACACCACUCCACCCACUGGCCACCUUUCUGAAGCUUGAAUGUUUGUACAGCACCCCACCCCAGCAUAAAAUGGAGAUAAAAAGGAUUUGAAGUUACGACACAUUGAAGUAACAUGGAUUAUUGGAGCUUAAGUCAUUUUUCCAUAUCUUAAACUGGUGUACAAAUAGUCUGCUUUACGAAAACCCCCACACAAGGGAUGUGAAGGACCUCUUUAAGGAGAACUACAAACCACUGCUCAAUGAAAUAAAAAAGGACACAAACAAAUGGAAGAAUAUUCCAUGCUCAUGGAUAGGAAGAAUCAAUAUCGUGAAAAUGGCUAUACUGCCCAAAGUAAUUUAUAGAUUCAAUGCCAUCCCCAUCAAGCUACCAAUGACUUUCUUCACAUAAUUGGAAAAAUCUAUUUUAAACUUCAUAUGGAACAAAAAAAGAGCCCGCAUUACCAAGACAAUCCUAAGCAAAAAGAACAAAGCUGAAGGCAUCAUGCUACCUGACUUCAAACUAUACUACAAGGCUACACUAACCAAAACAGCAUGGUACUGGUACCAAAACAGACAUAUAGACCAAUGGAACAGCACAGAGCCCUCAGAAAUAAUGUUACACAUCUACAACCAUCUGAUCUUUGACAAACCUGACAAAAACAAGAAAUAGGGAAAGGAUUUCCUAUUUAAUAAAUGGUACUGGGAAAACUGGCUAGCCAUAUGUAGAAAGCUGAAACUGGAUCCCUUCCUUACACAAAAAUUAAUUCAAGAUGGAUUAAAGACUUAAAUGUUAGAUCUAAAAUCAUAAAAACUCUAGAAGAAAGCCUAGGCAAUAUCAUUCCAGACAUAGGCAUGGGCAAGGACUUCAUGAUUAAAACACCAAAAGCAAUGGCAACAAAAGCCAAAAUAGACAAAUGAGAUCUAACUAAACUAAAGAGCUUCUGCACAGCGAAAGAAACUACCAUCAGAGUGAACAGGCAACCUACAGAAUGGGAGAAAAUGUUUGCAAUCUAUCCACCUGACAAAGAGCUAAUAUCCAGAAUCUACAAAGACCUCAAACAAAUUUACAAGAAAAAAACAACCCCAUCAAAAAGUGGGCAAAGGAUAUGAACAGACACUUCUCAAAAGAAGACAUCUAUGCAGCCAACAGACACAUGAAAAAACGCUCAUCAUCACUGGUCAUCAGAGAAAUGCAAAUCAAAACCACAAUGAGAUACCAGCUCAUGCCAGUUAGAAUGGCAAUCAUUAAAAAGUCAGGAAACAACAGAUGCUGGAGAGGAUGUGGAGAAAUAGGAACACUUUUACACUGUUGGUGGGAGUGUAAAUUGGUUCCACCAUUGUGGAAGACAGUGUGGUGAUUCCUCAAGGAUCUAGAACCAGAAUUACCAUUUGACUCAGCAAUUCCAUUACUGGGUAUACACCCAAAGGACUAUAAAUCAUGCUACUAUAAAGACACAUGCACACGUGUAUUUAUUACGGCGCUAUUUGCAAUAGCAAAGACUUGGAACCAACCCAAAUGUCCAUCAAUGAGAGACUGGAUUAAGAAAAUGUGGCACAUAUACACCAUAGAAUACUAUGCAGCCAUAAAAAAGGAUGAGUUCAUGUCCUUUGCAGGGACAUGGAUGAAGCUGGAAACCAUCAUUUUCAGCAAACAAUCACAAGGACAGAAAAACAAAUGCUGCAUGUUCUCACUCAUAGGUGGGAAUUGAACAAUAUCACUUGGACACAGGGCGGGGAACAUCACACACCCGUCAGGGGAUGGGGGCUGGGAGAAGGAUAGCAUUAGGAGAAAUACCUAAUGUAAAUGAUGAGUUGAUGGGUGCGGCAAACCAACAUGGCACAUGUAUACCUACGUAUCAAAACAGCACGUUGUGCACAUAUACCCUAGAACUUAAAGUAUAAUAAUAAAAAAAAAGUCCCCACACCAACUCCCUAAGCUUAUACCACUGAGGAAGCUGAGGACUCUUUAUUAGUGUCUUAUAGGCACUGCUAAAAUAAUAUAUCAUAAAUAGGUUUAACAGUAGUCUAAUCUAUUACCCUGCUGGUGUUUGCCAAAAAUAAAGGAAAGUAAACAAAUGAAAUAAAAACAAAAUGAGCAAGUGAAGAAAAAAAUCUAUUUCAUGCAGGUUAUAACAAGAUGUAAUAUAUGUUUUCUCUUUACGAGAGUAUUUGAUGCUCUUUAUAUUAAAGAUUACAACAAUAUGUUAUGUGAAUACGUAAUAAUGUAGCUAUAUUUCCAGUAAUAUAGAAUAAUUUUAGCACUUGUCUGUGCCAGGCAUUUUCCUAAGCAUUCAUAUAAAUUACUUCAUCUAAUUUCACCAUUCAAUGAAAUAGAUAUUCUCAUCAUCCCUAUGUUUCAGAUAAAGAAUCUAAGGCUCAGAGAGAUUAGGUUAAUAACAAAAAGUCAUCAAACUAAAAUGUGCACAACUGAGAUUUAAAAACGUAGAUCUGAAUGAAUAUGGAGUCUACUUUUAACAUUCCUAAAAUUCAGUUUGCAUAAAAAAUUCAUGAAGACAGCUAUUGCAUAAACAUGGCCCAGUGAAUUAGUAAAUGGGGCUAAUAUAUGGAUUAUAGGGUCAAACAAAGCUAGGGAGUAUGUUUCCAGGUAGCACAUCAAUUUCUGUAAAUCCUUGAGAACAUUGGGUACUCAUAGACAGGAUGAGUUCUUAAUCUAAAAUGAAGAAAUAACGGGUGAUCAAUACUUAUAUACUUCUUGAUUAGACCUAAUCUUCAGCAAUAUCCUACCCCGAAUUUCACCUCCAACAACACUACUUUUGUGGGGAAGCUGUUAAUAUAUAAAAGUCCAUCUGUUCACUUGAGAAUAAAGGACCACUCUGCUCCUAAUCCAAUGUCUGUUGCUUUUACAACUUUGAAUACAACAUCAGAGGUUAGCUUUGAUAUUUCCUCAAGUCUUUCUGGCAUUUCUAGUGAAAGAGAGAACCUAAAACGGAGUGUAAUAAACUUUAUUACCCAUCUGCAUCUCAAAUGCAAUAUACAUUAACUAGGAUGCACAUGGAUUUCCAAGUGUGAUUGUAUUUUCUAGUGUGCCUCUCUGGGAGGGAAACUGUCUCAAUCACCAAUAGACCAUAUCUAAAAACUAACAGGUUACUUUGUUGUGACCAACUCUCAUUUCCCAAAGUCUCCACCCAACAUGGACCCUAUUCUGUUGCAUCAGUUGGGUGAACAUUCUCCCGUUUUUGUAUUUUCUUUGCAGCAUGGACAUUGGGUGUGAGCGCGUUUUUUGGAAAAAAAAAAUUCAGUGUUCCAUUAAUGAGAUAAUGUAUUUAUUUAUUAUGACAAUAAACACAGCUGCAAAAUGGACCAUAAAGAAAUAGACGACUUGCAGAUUUCUGUGCCCAACCUGUCAACUGUAAUUGAGAAAUAAAUUAAAUGAUCCAUCUGCUUUGCAUCAUCUACUCCUUUAUUUUUGUCAGUAUCCAUGGUUUUAAAAACUAAUUACUCACUAAAAAAAUCCAUAUAGAAUUUGAAUGACUUUGUAACGCAAUUUUGCCAUCCCCCAACAUACUGUGCUUCUUUCUAAUACAUUC